GCUGUACGUUUAAAAGAUGAUGAAGAAGGGUCUUUAUUGUAAUUGUACAUAUACACAAUGAAAUUUGUCCUCUGCAUUUAACCCAUCCUUAUUACAGUUAGACACAUUCCAACCAGUAGGAGCAGUGGGUUGCCACAGUCCGGUUCGCGGGAAUCAACUCCAGAUGUAGAGACGC